CACCUUGAAACUUUGCCGCAGGUCCCCUAUUUUAAAUCUGUCCUUCGGGACUAUGGCGAUAAACGCGCUCGCAAUACACGGAUCGGACCCGGGGGCGGUACCCGGCGACUCCACCAACAAACCCUUCAUUUGGGGGCGCAUGGGGUCGAAAUAGGAUCGACGGACGUCUAAAGGGGUUAGCUUUUGCUCGGUGAGAUACCACCGAUAUCGGUUCAAUAUAGCUAGUUGCAAAUGACAACAAAGCACCGAUGGCUCUGGCUGCGUAAGCAGUUCGAAAUAUCGAAAACUUAAGCCCUACCGCUUUGCGGCCGUAGGCGGGGUUUGCAGGUACCUGGCAACAGAAACCUGCGCU
rnacentral:tmRNA from 21 species